GACGAACGCUGGCGGCGUGCUUAACACAUGCAAGUCGAACGGAAAGGCCCUGCUUUUUUGGGGUUCUCGAGUGGCGAAUGGGUGAGUAACACGUGAGUAACCUGCCCUUGACUUUGGGAUAACUUCAGGAAACUGGGGCUAAUACCGGAUAGGAGCUCCUGCUGCAUGGUGGGGGUUGGAAAGUUUCGGCGGUUGGGGAUGGACUCGCGGCUUAUCAGCUUGUUGGUGGGGUAGUGGCUUACCAAGGCUUGGACGGGUAGCCGGCCUGAGAGGGUGACCGGGCACCAGGGGCCUACGAUACGGCCCAGAGUGCAACGGGAGGCAGUAGUGGGGAAUAUUGCACAAUGGGCGGAAGCCUGAUGCAGCAACCCCGCGUGCGGGAUGACGGCCUUCGGGUUGUAAACCGCUUUCGCCUGUGACGAAGCGGGAGUGACGGUAAUGGGUAAAGAAGCACCGGCUAACUACGUG
rnacentral:rRNA from 1 species